rnacentral:misc_RNA from 1 species
GCAGUGCGCGCCUUUCGCGCGUCUCUCUGUGCUUUCUUGCCCUGGUGGCCCCCUCAUGACAAGCGGGGGAGGGAUGAAGGGAGGAGCGUCGCACAUCUCCGUGCGUGGCGUCGCAGAGUCCAGUGCACCCCUCCCCCCACCCCUUAUAUCCCGGUCCAUGCUCAGUCGCUUCACGUGGUGACAGUGGUUUGAGGUCCUGGACGGCGCUGCGUCGGAGCGCCCGACGACAGCGAGCACGUGUGUGUCAUCCAUACGAUAGGCAAAACGUGUCAGGGUGACUCGAGCGUAUGCCUCACGCGGCCCUCACCCGGCCCACUGAUGUGUGGGGAGGAGCCUGCGUGCAGCCCCCUCCCCCACCCCCGAGGGGGGUGGGAUGCACCCGGUGGCAGCCAGCGCGAUGGGCGCGGCUGUGAAGCGACCUGCGAAGCGGGAGGCGGGCAGGGUUUGAGGAAGAGGCCGUGUUCUCCGAUGACCGAGUCGGCGCAUUGCUGCAAGGCGUGUGGCUACCGCUGCUUCGCGCCGUGGGAUGAGGUCCCAUGGCAGGGCCAGGGGGCUGAUGUGGGGUUUCGCUCAUGUUGUACAGCAGAGAACAGGCACGUUGAAAACGGAAAGCGAAGCUCUCCCCCAUCAUUCCUUCUCCAACCCCCUCCCCCUUCGGCAAGUCUCGACCUCCGGACCGGGUGUAUAUGUGGCCACAGCCUCACAUCCCCUCCCCCCAAAAAAAAGAGAAUAAGCUCUGCUGCUUUCCAGUGGCCAACAGAGGAGUGCAUCGCAUGUGCGCAGGACUUCUCUUCGCAUUCGGCUUCUAUCAUCGCAUCCCUCUCUCUCCAUGCACGCACACGCGCAGACGCAGCAAGAGCAAAGACCAUUGCCACUCCACUGAAGCGCCACCUGUUGUGGGGGGAAGGGGUUCGCAGGAGGCGAAACAACCGCAGCAGGCCUCGCGGCAUCUGGAGAACACGGCGAAGUGGGACUUGAGGCGCCACAGAGGAGUGCUUUAUGUGUGCGUGUGCGCGCCAAAGAGAAAGAGGAGCUGUGCUGAAUCACAUUUGCCUCUCUCCUCCGCUCUCCUUCCCAUAAACACCACCACCAUCGCCGCGGUGCUCAG